UUUUUAUAAACAUACCUAUAAUAUUUAAUGGCUUCAUGCCUGUAACAUUGGACCACGUGCUACGUGUUUCAUUUUUCAUUAUUGCAUAAUGGCCUGCAAGAUAAGAUUGCCCAGAUCAUUUUAUGAAAAUUUUGAGGAUCUAAGUUGCAAUGAAUCGAGAAAUUAGACAAUGCAGUGGAACAUUGAGAAUUACGGAAAAUAAGAAUGUAAGACAUGCCGAGGAUAGUAAGUGCACGAUAAACAUUUUUGUUCUUUAAAUGAUUUUAUUUUCUUCCACUAUGCACAAUAAAGACUGUUAUUUAAACAAAUGUUUACACGUACACGCAUACAUAGAAAAAAAACAUUAUAGCUCUAUUACAAUCUUGAUAGAUCUUGAUAGAUUAUCCGAUUCGACUAAAUUCAUGUGGAAUUGAAGCUUUCGGUUCAUACUACCUGUUUGCCUAAGAUUAUCAAUUUCAAUGAUCAUAUGAGUCAUCAUUUGCUACAUAAGCUAUAAAGCUUUAAUGAUUUCGAUGACACUCAUACUGACAGGUUUCUUCUCACUCAGUUCAGCAUUCAUAUCAUCACUUUGUAAAAAAUUGUUAUCGAGCUGAUUCUUGAGAUUAACAAUAAGCUUGUGAUCGAUAUGGAAAACCUAAUAAUAUAACAUAAGAAGAAAAAAUAGAAUACAUCAAAAAA